rnacentral:lncRNA from 1 species
GAAAAUGAGGGUUAUAUUAAAAAGCUCCUGGAGCUUUUUCAUGUGUGUGAAGAUUUGGAAAAUAUUGAAGGACUGCACCACUUGUAUGAAAUUAUCAAAGGCAUCUUUCUCUUGAAUCGAACUGCUCUUUUUGAAGUUAUGUUCUCUGAAGAAUGUAUAAUGGACGUCAUUGGAUGUUUAGAAUAUGAUCCUGCUUUAUCACAACCACGAAAACACAGGGAAUUUCUAACAAAAACAGCCAAGUUUAAAGAAGUGAUUCCCAUAUCAGAUCCUGAGCUGAAACAAAAAAUUCAUCAGACAUACAGAGUUCAGUAUAUACAAGAUAUGGUUCUACCAACUCCUUCGGUCUUUGAAGAAAACAUGUUAUCAACACUUCACUCUUUUAUCUUUUUCAAUAAGGUAGAGAUUGUUGGCAUGUUGCAGGAAGAUGAAAAAUUUCUGACAGAUUUGUUUGCACAACUAACAGAUGAAGCAACAGAUGAGGAAAAAAGACAGGAAUUGGUUAACUUUUUAAAAGAAUUUUGUGCGUUUUCCCAAACGCUACAGCCUCAAAACAGAGAUGCUUUUUUCAAGACUUUGUCAAACAUGGGCAUAUUACCAGCUUUAGAAGUCAUCCUUGGCAUGGAUGAUACACAGGUGCGAAGUGCUGCUACUGAUAUAUUCUCAUACUUGGUUGAAUAUAAUCCAUCCAUGGUACGAGAGUUUGUCAUGCAGGAGGCACAACAGAAUGAUGAUGUAAGUAAGAAGUUAACAGAGCAAAAAAUAACCAGCAAGGUAAAUAUUAUUUGUACUAAUAGUAAGUAUUUAUACAUAGGAAGCUAUAACUGUUUUUAUUAUUCACUUUUAAGAUUUAAUUGUUGCUGUUUGGGAAAAGUGUAGCCAUAAUAUCAGACAGCUUAUUGUUCCCCUAAAUUGGUUCCUGUCUCAGUUUAUCAAUUUGUCCUACAGCAACUAUUUAUGUUCAUUUAAAUUGCCUUUUAAAAUAUUCAUGUCAGUUUUUUUUUGUUUUGUUUUGUUUUAAUUCUGAAGUCAACUUGCUAUAUUGUGUUUUUUAAAUCAUUUAGUCAAUCAAUUCUUGUAUCUGGGGAAUUAAGAGUAAGUUACCUAGGAAAACAUUGACUUUAGGGUAGAUUCUCAAAAUCGCCAAGAAUGAAGAAAUGUAGCACAGUCCCUUAAAAUAUGAAGGGUGCUGUUUCUUUACUGCCUAGCCAUAGAGAACAAGCUGUUACGUUGUUCACAAACACUCACGUUAGCAUCUGAGAUAUACCAGAUUUUAAAGUAGUAGAGAAUAUAUCCUGGUAAUGUGAAGGGUGCGCCUGGAUCACAUAGUGCGUGACAUGUGAGAGCACUAAAUGUGUGUGCUCUCCUUUAUUUUAAAAUAAUUGAACCAAUGAUUCUGAUUUUUUCCUGCUUCCCCCAUAACAAUUUGGAAGCAACUUUUUACGUAAGAAUGAGUAAGAAGGACCUGCUCUCAGGUCCUUCUUAAGGGAGGAGGGGAAUAAAGAUCCCCUAAGGAAAAAAAAAAAAUCUGUUUAGAAUUCCAGCCUGUGGUAUUUUUACGAAAUAGGAAAAUAGACUGUCUUACUUUUUGAAAAGAUCCUAUUUAAUGUAUUGUGAUGUCAAAAGGAAAUGGAAUGCCAUGUAACUGCUAUGUUUAAGUUUUUAUUUUUAUAGUGCAGGAUAGGUGCAAAAAAGCACCAGUUUGAACUGUUGUGUCAUGUUUUUCUUUUAUAAAAUAUUAACAUCGGCCUCAGCAACAUAGCAAGACCCUCCUUUAGUACAAAAUUAAUUUUUAAAACUUAGAUAUGGUGGCAUGCACCCAUAGUCCCAGAUACUCAGGAGGAUGAGAAGGAAGAGUCUCUUAAGACCAGGAGUUUGACUCUGCAGUGAGCUAUGAUUGCUCCACUGCACUCCAGUCUGGGUGACGAAGCCAGACCCCAUCUC